AGUUAAGUCCGCCUACUUAUUAAGGUGACAUUUCCCCAGUCGCCCUCCAGAGCUCUGCUGCCACCAAUGCCUGCAUGGAUGGUCUCUUAGCAUUUCUGCAUUUUCACUGUCUAAAGAAGACUUUUGUGCAAGAAUGCCCCUGGUUUGCUUCAUGUGCCAGGAACAUGGAAGGAACUGCUGCUGGCAGACUCCACCAAGGGCCACCAAAGCGCUCCCUAUGCUGAGAGUUUCCUGUAAGAGAAAGAGGUGCUUAUGUAGGUGCAAGACUGAUCCUAGAUGGUGCCAUCCAGAGGAGAGCCUUGGGGGCCUCCUGAAUGAACCCUUCCUCUCAGCAUCAUAUACCAGCAGAGACAAGCAUGGGCUCGCUGCCAUCCAUGCCAUUAUCACUGGGCCAGGAGCAGCUAGGAAGAUGGGUCCUGAAUGGAGACUGAACGUCAUGAUUUCUCCCUACGCCUACUCCUUCCUGCAAUGUCAGUACAGUCACUGUCAGGUGGAGAGAAACAGAUUGGUCCUACUGCAUCAGCCCAUCGUAUCAGUCUGCAUCUCCAACUGCAGCCAGCAUCGGGAGCUGCAGAAGGGAUGGCUCCAGAUGGUGACACCUCUGCUCCACGAGUGUGCACUGCCCAAAUGCUGAUGCUGGCGAGUGCACCAAGCAGGCAGGCACAGCCCCUGGUAGUCAUGGUGGUUCUUGCAGCCACAGCCUGCAAUGCUCUGAGACUGCGUUAGCCACAUGAGAAGCUCAGCUUGGAUUUCUUCAUACAGUAGGAGUAGGAGGAAUAAAUGCCUUCGGAGCAUAUUUCAUUGUAUGUCUGACAUUUAUAUCAGUGAAUAGCCACAGGCUCUAAGAAAGAUCGAUGGUCUCUGAUUGACCAGAGAAAACUGCUGAGAUGGGGAACUUUUUCUCUUCUUAUGGCCAUAGCUUUAACACUCUGAUUCGUUUAUUCCCUUUUCAGCCCUGGAAGCAGAAAGGUACUGCCAUCCCUGCUUCUCCAGUGGGCAAGUACUGAGAAUUAACCUUAUUUCUCCACAAGGUACCCCAAGAAGCCACGGGAAAAGCAGGGAUACUUGAGCCACAAGGGAAGUCUUGGCCUUUUGUUAACUGCUGCUGAGCACACUCAGAACAAAAAAAAAAAGGAAAAAAAAAGGAAAAAAAUACCCAACAACAUAGCCACAGCAAUGUCUGUGAGCCUCUGAAGACUCAUAGUCAGCAACUGUCUUUUGAAGGCUUUCUUUAGAAGUGACUUCUUACUAGCUAUCUGCUGAGAGACCAAAUAAUACCAAGGUGCAUAGCCAAGAAUGUUCCCAUCCUAUUUUGAUGUGCUUAAAGGAAAUGGAAUGGCUAGCUUAAAUGCUGGAGAAGACAACUGAGUGGGAGUUUGGGCUUGAUGAAGGCAGCUAGGCAAGAGUUUUGCAUUUGGUUUACAAAGAUCUUGAGUAGGCUGAGAUUCCAGGCUGAUGAGAUGGUCUCUACAAUGACUACAAUUCUCUACACUUUUUUUUUUUUUUUUUUUUUUUUUGCAAAGAACUCAGGUUCUUGCAAACUAUAGACAUGAAA